rnacentral:rRNA from 1 species
CCUACGGGUGGCAGCAGUGGGGAAUAUUGGACAAUGGGGGGAACCCUGAUCCAGCGACGCCGCGUGAGUGAAGAAGUAUUUCGGUAUGUAAAGCUCUAUCAGCAGGGAAGAAAGAAAUGACGGUACCUGACUAAGAAGCCCCGACUAACUACGUGCCAGCAGCCGCGGUAAUACGUAGGGGGCAAGCGUUAUCCGGAUUUACUGGGUGUAAAGGGAGCGUAGACGGCGAUGCAAGUCUGAAGUGAAAGGCGGGGGCUCAACCUCCGGACUGCUUUGGAAACUGUAUGGCUGGAGUGCAGGAGAGGUAAGUGGAAUUCCUAGUGUAGCGGUGAAAUGCGUAGAUAUUAGGCGGAACACCAGUUGCGAAGGCGGCUUACUGGACUGUAACUGACGUUGAGGCUCGAAAGCGUGGGGAGCAAACAGGAUUAGAUACCCCAGUAGUC